rnacentral:lncRNA from 1 species
AAUGAUGAAGCUAAUCAAAAAAGUUUCUCUUCCUCGCUUCCUGCUCUCAUUCGUACACUCGGAGAAAAAUGGAAUCAGUGUGAGUAUUUUCACUCUAAGAAUUAGAACUUUUUAUCUCUAAAUUGGAUUUGAUUGUGUGCUUUUUGUUGCUCAGUGUAUAUUUGCCAGUAUUUCUUUUCGUAAGGCAAGAUGGAGUUGACUUUUGCCAUCGCAUCCUCUUUGGCCAUUGUCUCUGGCUCCAGAGGCAAAACUUUGCUCAUGAACUUAAUGCCAGAGGUGAGGGCUGGCCUGGGCUGGUCUGGGCUGUGCUGUGCUGGAAGUAGCUACUGGAUACUGGAUACUGGAUACUGGUGACUGGCUCUGCGGAUGGUAUUGGAGGUGCAUAAUGCGUGCCAUCAUCCCCGUUGGGAGGGGAAAUGGGCCAGCCAGCGGCCAGGUCCAAGCACGCAUCCUGAUGACUUUGGGCAUUAUUCUUAAAUCCGAU